CAGCAGUCAGACAGUGUGAGAUAAGUUUCAUUGUCAAAAGGGAAACAGCCCAGACCUACAGCUAAGGUCCCAAAUGUAUGCUAAGUGGAAAACGAUGUGGAGUUGCGAAAACAACCAGGAUGUUGGCUUAGAAGCAGCCAUUCAUUAAAAGAGUUCGUAAUAGAUCACUGGUCGAGUGACUCUGCGCGGAAAAUAUAACGGGGCUAAGCAUACAACCGAAGCUUAGGAUUGUCUAAUGGACAGUGGUAGGGGAGCGUCGUGUACGGGGUGAAGUCGCAUCGGAAGGAGCGGUGGACUGUACACGAGUGAGAAUGCCGGAAUGAGUAGCGAGAAUUAUGUGGGAAUCAUAAUGGCCGAAAAUCUAAGGUUUCUUGGGGAAGGUUCGUCCGCCCAAGGUAAGCCGGGAGCUAAGGCGAGGCCGCAAGGCGUAGUCGAUGCACAUACGGUAGAAAUUCCGUAGCCACCGAACCUUAAACCGGAAGGACACUUGCAGAUAGCGGAACCCAGCCGUUGGUCGAGCUGGGCGUAAGGGACUGAAAUAUAGUAGGGAAGUCCGCGAUGCUGUGAGGCGAGAAAAGCUCCGGUGUAUGCUAAGGUGCCCGUACCGCAAACCGACACAGGUAGAUGAGGAGAGAAUCCUAAGGCCAACGGGAGAAGGGUUGUUAAGGAACUCGGCAAAUUGACCCCGUAACUUCGGAAGAAGGGGAGCCUCGAAAGAGGCCGCAGUGAAUAGGCCCAAGCAACUGUUUACCAAAAACACAGGUCUAUGCUAAAUCGAAAGAUGACGUAUAUGGGCUGACGCCUGCCCGGUGCCGGAAGGUUAAGAGGAGAGCUUAGCGCAAGCGAAGGUUUGAAUUGAAGCCCCGGUAAACGGCGGCCGUAACUAUAACGGUCCUAAGGUAGCGAAAUUCCUUGUCAGGUAAGUUCUGACCCGCACGAAUGGCGUAAUGAUUUGGGCACUGUCUCAACAGCCCGCCCGGCGAAAUUGUAGUACUGGUGAAGAUGCCAGUUACCCGCAACUAGACGGAAAGACCCCAUGGAGCUUUACUGCAGUUUAAUACUGGGAAUCGGUAAUUCAUGUACAGGAUAGGUGGGAGACUGAGAAGCAUGGCCGUCAGGUCGUGUGGAGUCACCGGUGGGAUACCACUCUUGGAUUGCUGGUUUCCUAACCUGCGGCCCUGAAUCGGGUCGGGGGACACUGUUAGACGGGCAGUUUGACUGGGGCGGUCGCCUCCAAAAGAGUAACGGAGGCGCUCAAAGGUCAGCUCAGCAUGGAUGGAAACCAUGCAAGUGAGUGCAAACGCAAAAGCUGGCCUAACUGCGAGACUGACGGGUCGAGCAGUAACGAAAGUUGGAGUUAGUGAUCC
rnacentral:rRNA from 1 species